rnacentral:rRNA from 1 species
AUUGAACGCUGGCGGCAGGCUUAACACAUGCAAGUCGAGCGAGAGGCGGACGGGUGAGUAAUGUCUGGGAAACUGCCUGAUGGAGGGGGAUAACUACUGGAAAAGGUUGCUAAUACCGCAUAACAUCAGAUGUGCCCAGAUGGGAUUAGCUAGUAGGUGGGGUAAAGGCACACCUAGGCGACGAUCCCUAGCUGGUCUGAGAGGAUGACCAGCCACACUGGAACGGAGACACGGUCCAGACUCCUACGGGAGGCAGCAGUGGGGAAUAUUGCACAAUGGGCGCAAGCCUGAUGCAGCCAUGCCGCGUGUGGGAAGAAGGCCUUCGGGUUGUAAAGCACUGUCAGCGAGGAGGCGUUACUCGCAGAGGAAGCACCGGCUAACUCCGUGCCAGCCGCCGCGGUAAUUC